UCCUCUCUAUUGAGUAACUGUUGUUAGGCCUACGCUCUAAUUUUUGCUUAGGCUCUCUAAAUAGUUUCUCGAACAUGGAUAACAAAACAUAUAUAGAGAACCUGGUUUCAGCUUAUAAGGAAAGGUGUCGCUGACUUCCAUUGAACAUUUAACAUCUUCACGUAUAUUACCCCUUUUAAAGGAAAUCCAUGGUUCCUGUGGAUCGGACAAAAUAAACGUUACGGUAGAAUUCAACAAACCUUUUCACGGCGUUAUUUAUUCCAAAGGGUUCUACAACAAUGAUAAUUGCGUUUAUGUUAAACGUCCCUCCAUUAGGCCUAUCGAAUCCAUCUUUACAUUUCUAGUUCCGCUGAGAAACUGCGGAAGUGAAGUUCAGCCCGUGAAUUUAUCAGAGAGUCGUGAUUGGUGGUUUGAAAACACGAUCAUCAUACAAAACGAUCCGUACAUCCAAGAGAUGUGUGACCAAGCACUCCAGCUACGAUGCGUUUGGAAGCACACGUUUCUUCGAACCUUGUACGUCAAAUUAAAUAUUUCAGAUGUUUGAAUUGACUACCAGCUUUUAAAUUUUGAUGUCUCCGCCACUAUAGUGGCGAAUAUUUUCUUGAUUAAAAUAUUUCAUUGAAUGACUA